UAAGUAAUUGACGGAUCAAAUCCUCAAACAUUGUCUGUAAGAUUCCUAGCAAUGAAUUCUAAAUUGUUAAUUUUUGCCAUAUUAGCGGCUGCUAUGUUGGUAUCUAUAUCCGCAGCACCAGCAAUGAAGAAAGGAGACAUCGUAGUUGUUGUGGGUCGGAAGCGCCGCGACGUUAGUUGCUUUGAAGUUUCUAAUGGAUCUGUCGAACCAAACGGUCCUGGUUGCCAACAAAUUGAGGUUCACCGAAAGCUAACGUAAUGCGGAAGUUUGUUUGCCAACAUUGAAAAUUUAGUUACGGUGAAGUAUUUCAGUAUUCAAUAGUUGAGUCCUUAAGAAUUUACUAAAACAUUGCAAUUAUUGUAUAUCAAUUUGUUAUAUUCUGUAAUACCUUCUAAAUAAAUAACAAGUGGUCGCAAGAA